AGAGGGUUGGCCGAUUGGAUUAGGCUCGGGUCUACGAAGCCCGCAAGACAGGUUCGAUCCCUGUAUCCUCUACCA
rnacentral:tRNA from 1 species